rnacentral:rRNA from 1 species
UACGUAGGGGGCAAGCGUUGUCCGGAAUCAUUGGGCGUAAAGAGCGUGUAGGCGGCCCGAUAAGUCCGCUGUGAAAGUCCAGGGCUCAACCCUGGAAUGCCGUUGGAUACUGUCGGGCUCGAAUCCGGAAGAGGUGAGUGGAAUUCCUGGUGUAGCGGUGAAAUGCGCAGAUAUCAGGAGGAACACCAAUGGCGAAGGCAGCUCACUGGGACGGUAUUGACGCUGAGACGCGAAAGCGUGGGGAGCAAACAGG